rnacentral:rRNA from 1 species
GACGGACGCUGGCGGCGUGCUUAACACAUGCAAGUCGAACGGAAAGGCCUCUUUCGGGGGGUACUCGAGUGGCGAACGGGUGAGUAACACGUGAGUAACCUGCCCUUGACUUUGGGAUAACUUCAGGAAACUGGGGCUAAUACCGGAUAGGAGCUCCUGCUGCAUGGUGGGGGUUGGAAAGUUUCGGCGGUUGGGGAUGGACUCGCGGCUUAUCAGCUUGUUGGUGGGGUAGUGGCUUACCAAGGCUUUGACGGGUAGCCGGCCUGAGAGGGUGACCGGCCACAUUGGGACUGAGAUACGACCCAGACUCCUACGGGAGGCAGCAGUGGGGAAUAUUGCACAAUGGGUGGAAGCCUGAUGCAGCAACGCCGUGUGCGGGAUGACGGCCUUCGGGUUGUAAACCGCUUUCGCUCAUGACGAAGCUUUGUGUGACGGUAGUGGGUAAAGAAGCACCGGCUAACUACGUG